rnacentral:rRNA from 1 species
UACGGAGGGGGCUAGCGUUGUUCGGAAUUACUGGGCGUAAAGCGCACGUAGGCGGCUUUGUAAGUUAGAGGUGAAAGCCCAGAGCUCAACUCUGGAAUUGCCUUUAAGACUGCAUAGCUUGAACAUCGGAGAGGUGAGUGGAAUUCCGAGUGUAGAGGUGAAAUUCGUAGAUAUUCGGAAGAACACCAGUGGCGAAGGCGACUCACUGGACGAUUGUUGACGCUGAGGUGCGAAAGCGUGGGGAGCAAACAGG